UGUGUGUAGCUCAUUUUUUGGAUAUUUUUACCUAAAUUCUUGCACAUGGCACCUUUAAACAGUGUAUUUGAUAUAAAAACUUUUCAGUUUAAAAUUUGUGCCAGGAAAUGAUUAGCUUGCAGAAGAACAGGUGCAUUUAUCUCCCCACCACAUGUGUACCAUUCAAAUAUUUAUUUUAUUAUUAUUAUUAUUAUUAGUAGUAGUAGUAGUAGUAUUAGUAUUGUUAUUAAUCAGUAGCUUUAAACAUGAAAACAUGAAUCUUUUUCUGCUAUAAGUUCCACUGUUACUGUGCACACUACAGCAAGGAGAGUGUCCUUGCGGUUCCUGGUUGCUUGGUUUUGAAUCAGUGGGAGAGGUAAACACAGAGAGCGUCAUUGUUCAUCUUUUCAUCAGUCUCACUCUCAGUGGAAUACUCUCUGGAUUCCUUCCUGGUAACCAGGCCCUUGUGUUGACCACACUGUUUUUAUCCUUUGGUGCUAUACAAGGUCUCAUAAUAUCUUACAUUGGGAGCUGCCACACUGAAAGCUAGACAAAACAAAUCAUGUAACGUAGUUGAACACGAAAUGAGAAGCACAUAGCAAGGCUUUUGUAGGAUUUCUCUCCAAGGAGAAUAAACCAUGGGAUAAAUUACCUGCUCUGAAGAGGCCUUAAGCUGUGGACAGAUGAAUGCAGGUGUUUUGUAAGCUGGAUGAGUUCCAUCUGUUCUGCUGACCUUAUAGUUUAUUUUCCUUCUAUAAAGCAACACAGCAGCUGCUGUCACAAACACAUGGAAAUAUGUUAAACUGCACAUUUAUUUACACAUUCAUCUGGCAUUAAUUUUCCUUUAUAAACAUCCUUAAGUAUGAAAUAGUAUUCAGAAGGAUCAUGGCCUUUGUGAAUGGUUUGUGACAGCAAGAGUUAUAUUGACAAAAGGUUUUGAAAACACACAUUUCCUUGCAUGCCUUUUUAGAUUUCAGCAUGUGUAAUGUUUUUCAUUCAAAAGACAAUGAAUAUAUUGAACAUAUUUCAAAGACAAUGAACAUAUUUUGCUGUCAGCAUGUCUGUACCGCAACGUGUGACAAGUGUGAGAAAGUAUAACAGCAUGAGUUUGAUAGCAGCUCACAUGAAGUCAAGGAGAAAUAUAUUGCCGGUGACUGCACCUUGUAUACAAACACUUGAAGUGAUGGCCCAUGGCGAAGAGAUUUGUUGUCAGAAAGAUGAUUGUGAUAUGUGACCUCUCAAUCUCUCCUCUAUCUAUCCACCCUUUAGUUCUCAGCAUAGAGACUGAACAGCAGAGUAUGUAUCAUGCUUGGAUACCAAAUAGAAAUCACUGUCCUUGGAAACAAGAGAGAUCUGAAAGUUGGUGGUCGGUAGGUCUUUGUUCCGUGAUGGAAUAUUCCAGAAUCUUCUGUGUACUGAAAGAUUAUUGAAAAAAAAAAAGAAAAAAGGUCAGUGUCCUGCGUCACUAAGUGUGUUUGAAAACAUCACUCUUCAAUUCCUUUUUUCCCUUUGGUCAUUGUUGUACACAAUGUUUAAUGUUUGAGGAGGGACUUCAUCCUUUACUUUCCGUUCAACCCCUUUAUUAUGCUCCUUUAUUAGGGGACCCAUUAAAGCAUGAUUACUGCAACCAUCCCCUUUCUAUUUGUUUUAGUGAUAUAUUCCAUGAGGAGGUUACUGGGUUGGUGUUGGUAAGGCCAGUAUGGAUGGCAAGAAGGGCAACAGAGUGAGUUCAAUGCACUGGACGGGUGAAAAAGGUUUCCUGACACGAAAGGGUCGGCAUGCGUACUCCAGAGCUCUUCGUGCUGAGCACACCACCAGUACUGUACACCCGAACGACGGGGAUUUGGACCGCCUCAGCCACGGCCAGUUUGGGAGUUUUGGAACGAGAGGCCAAGUCCGAGACGGUCAGCAGAACAGUGGUCAUUUCAACUCUGACACGCAUGCAUGUAAUGGCAUCCAGUCCCGUGGCUGUGCUACGGCACAGGAUUGCUCUGGUUGUCUGGGACUCUACACAUGCAGUUUGUCCCAGAGGAAGUGUCGACUGAAGGGCCUGUCCCGCCACGCAGGCAGAUUCUACAAAACCCUAAGAAUUGCUUGAAUUGAAUUGAUAAGUUUACAUCCUGCAUCCACAGCACAGAGGCAGGCUAACGAAACGC